CCACUACAUGCAAAAUAAAACAUAGGUAUGAAAAACAUGGUCAAAGUGAACUUGCCUGGUAUUACUUGAUGAAGAUAACAACACUCUCGAAAAUAACUUGAUAGGACUAUACGCAACUCUCCGAUGAAAUCUAUAAUAACAAACAUGACAUUCACAUAAGCAAGCAUUCUAGCAGGCAAAUCUAACAAUCAAAAGAAAAACUCAAUAAGAAAACCCAAUACAAAACAAAUAACACAUCGAAAGAACUAAUAGGGGAAAACUAUAAAGAACCUACUAGGAAAACCUUUUGCCUUAACUAAAAAAAUAGUUUUGUCCUAAGUAAAACUUAACAAAGAAAUACUAAACAAAUAAUUUUAAGAGAAAAUAAAAUUUAAAUCCACUAAGUUAACAGAAAGUAUUUUUCAUAAAGUUUUACUAGCAAAAGGAAACACAUAAAAAGCUAUUUUAAAACUCUAGUUAUGCUUAAAACAAAACUAGUAAGAAAAAGAAAUAAAACAUUUUAUUUUUCUGUAAAUAAAAGUUCACCCUCUAUAACUACAGAAACAAAUCUGAAAUAAAAUAAAACAAAGGUGGAAAUAAAUUUUAAAAUAACUAAAACAACAGAAAACAGCGUCAAGUUAAAAAUAACUAGUGUAGUGUUGUUUUUGUGAAAAACAAAUUUUAGUAAAAUCUAUAAAUACCCAAAUUAAUCCUACUGCUAGGCAAGGUCAAAACAAAGCAGUGGCAAAAAGAAUCGCCUAAAAAUAUUAAUUCUAGCUCAUAUUAUAGCAAAAAUACUAAUCUGAGUAAAACCCAAAUAAAACCAUUUUCAAAACUAAAACAUGGUCGAAACUAUUUUAUACAGAAACUUUAGGAAAUUUGCAGACUAGAGCAAAAAGGAUCAAUCACAAACUCUAAAUAAACUAAGAGAUAUAGAAUUUACGAAACUGAAACUUUUCUGUUUUAAAAACAGAAACGAAAACUAAGAAAACGGGUAAGUCUAUUGGGCAGGUGCUGAGCGAUCUGUAACUAAAAGUCGCUCGGCUGGAACUUAACAGAAACGAAAAAAAACUGAUAGCGUGCUAGCUACGUAGCGGGCUGUACAGGGGUGUGCGAUCUGAAGCUAAACAAUGCUCGGCCGUAAGAUCACUAAAACUACUAAAACGUACACGUGCGUUUAAUUUAACAGAAGACCGGCGAACUGGUUCGAUCUAAACCACAAUAAACCGUAUACUAAACCGAACCAACCAAUCUAAAAAAACCAUUCUGAAAAAAAAACUAAAAUACUUUGAUAGAUCUACAGACAGGAAAAAAAAAGGAGGCGAAGGGAGGCGCUUACGGAGAACGUUCAACAGAGAAGUGUACGCGUAGGCAGGGAUGUGGAUUUCGGCGUGGCGGCGGCUCCGGUCGACGGCGGCGUCGACAGUGAUGUCCAGCGGAUGCGGUGCGACGAGGGCGUCUGAUUUUCUGUUGAUGGUGAGACGAGGAGACGUCGGGGUCAAGCAGGCGUCGGCGUAAACUCUCGUGCUUUGCGUGAACUCCAGCGGCGUUGCGAGCUUGAGGUGGUGGCUCCGGUUGAACCUAGGUGCCGAAAUCAUGUCAAAGAGGUAACUAAGUGCGAGGGGAAUCAAAAAACAGAGGGAGGGAUCUCAAGGAGGCAAUCGAUGAUGCACUCAUCCGACAAAAAAGCUUCGGUGGCCGAGAUCGGAAUGAAGACGGCGUGUGGUAUGGUGGGUUUGGGGCGUGGGUUUUCAAAGGAAAUCGGGAGAGGGACUGGCCAGGUAUUUAUAGGACAUAUUCUUGGGGUAGGGAGCAGCUUCGGGGAUCAGAUUCCGGAGAUCGCGGACACGGGCGGCAUGGCAAUCUUCUGUUCUGUUUCUUUCCGUGAGGAGCAAGAAGAAAGAAAAAAACGAGGGAGAGAGAGAUCGUGAAAGGGAGGGGUGGCGGCGGCUCGUGGGAGUCCCUCCCGUACAUGCGCUAGCCCUAGCGCCAGCACUGGGCUGGGCCGGCCGGUGCGCCUCGCCUGGCCUGGCCUGCGGGUGUUUUUUUUUAAUAAAACAGCGAGGAAAAGAAAACAAAUAAACUAGAAUAAAAAACGUUUUAAAUAGGCAUACUAUGUAUCAAAAUUCUCAUAAUAAAAUUUCCUAAAUCAUGAACAUAUUUCCAUGACUAAAUAAAAUUAUUUUUUAAAAAAUAUAUUUUUGCAACAACUCCAAAAUGAAAGGGAAUUUGAGUUUCAAAUAAAUUGUCAAACAUUGUCUCUGAUUUUUUUUUGGAGUGUCAUAUUCCUCCUCUCAUAUUUUUUUAUCAGAGUAUUUUUGACAAGAUGCAAACUUAAAAUUAGAUAAGGAUUCAAAAUGGAUUUUUUUUGGGAAAGUCCUUUUAUUCCCUCUCAUUUAACUUUCAAAAAGUUUCAAAUUUCACUCACUUUCAGUCAAUCCGUCACACAACAAUAAAACAAACAAUCAUAAAUAUUUAUUUAAUAUAACAUUCCAAAAUUUAGAAUUUUGGGAUGUUACAAACCUACCACACUUAAAAUGAAUCUCGUCCUCGAGAUUCGUAGAGGCUAGCAAGAAAAGGUUAGGGUUUGGAGGUCUUCCAGCAAAUCCAUCGACCAGAGAGGUACGACGUGCUACCAACUUAAAAGCAAGGCUAUGGUUCUGACAAAAUUCAUGUACUCCAUCCUUUGGGUUGACGGUGUCGGUCUUCUCAUAUUCUCCGGAAUAACUCUUUCACUGGUGCUCUUCCGGUCUGGGCAUGACCUUUUUCUCAAAAGCUUGUGUCCUCUCAAUUCUGGUGAGGUUCUUCCGAAGAGUGGGUCUUCAUAUCUGACAUGUAUGUCGUCAAUACUAAGAAACUAUCGGAACCUCCUGGCGGUCAACAAUUUAUGGCUUCUCCUGCAGGAAAAUGGUCGGGGUUGAAUCUCACCAUAUAUCCUACGAUUGGCAACGAUUGCCUGCACAGGGGUCCAUCGUUCUACCAUCCUAUGGUUUAAACAAGGUUUGAUAUCGUCAUCUCUCUACUAUGGUUAAGUCACUCCAGAUUUACCAUGCCAAAUAGCAAGAGUGAAUGAUACGAGUAAGUCGGUAUGGUGAUCAAUCCAUUCCGCACCCAGAUCAUUACCUUGUAUAAGGUUUAGUGAAUCUCGCGUUUUUAACACUCGGUCAUUCUCACACGCAUUGCAGAAUUUCUCUUGUCCUCGAACCGAGUUCAGAUAUAUCCCUUGAUUCUGCAAGCUGAACAAAACAUCUAUCGUUCUUCACAACUCUCAGGUUUUCGUAUCCUCCUAAGAAAUGUCUGCUGAUUAAAUCAGUGUUUUCUUCCAAAAUAUCUUCCUUCAGCAAGAGUGUGCUUGCUUCUUAUUAACUCCUGGGCCUAUGGGUUAUGGGCCCACUUCAAUGCGGGUACAGCUUUAACUCAUCUUUCGAGUUAUUAUUGUUCCAUAUUCCAACAUUACACCUCCUUUAAGUCCAGUAUAAAUUCAUUCCUUCAUAAUCCUAAGGUAACCGGCAUAUCUGAAUAAAACUCAUACUCAUUUUUUCCAAACUCCACUCUAAGGAAUAAAUUUUCCUUUCCAUAAAUUUGGUGGUUUCAUAGGGUACUACCACCCUUAAAAUGAAAUGCACGAUUUCAUCCAUGGACCAUAUUUCUCAUAUCCUCGAAAAUGGUCAAAAACAUUGUUUGUUGAGUAAAAACUCAUACAAUACAACAUAUGAAAUCAUGACACAGUAACUUUAUUGAUGCAUGAAUUCAUUACAAUAUCCGAGACUUCCAUUACAUAAAUUCAACUCCAUAUCCUCAUGGAAACAAUUGCUUCCUACUAUACUUAUAACCAAUUUCAAAAUUCGAACUACUCAGCUCCAUCUUUCAUCUUGUCAGGACAUUUAGUAGCAUAAUGUCUUACUUCCCUGCAUCGAAAACAAAUAACUUCCGAUAAGUCUUUGGGCUUCUUGAGGAUGGUGUCUGUUCUUCGGGUUCUUGGUUUCUUCUCUGGACAUUUAUUGGCAUAGUGGCCUGAGAUCUUGCACUUGAAACAUGUGAUAUAACUCAGGUCCUUCUCUGCAGAAAUUGGGUUAUUCUGGGGAUACCUUCGUUUCCUCUUCCUAGGUUUCUCCGUAAUGAGCAAAGCUUCUAUUCCCUGAUGGUCAAACUUCACUUCUACUGUCGGGAAGUCUCCGAGAUACUCUUCUCUUUCCUUUGUGCAGUGAUGUGAAAAAUGUCCUUCUUCUCCACAUGAAUAGCAGGCUUGGGCAAAAAAUCUGUUUAGGCCUUCUCCAUCAGGGUCUUUAGCAUCUUCCUGUAUCAUAAGUUCUUCUAAACUUUCCCUGAGGGUUUCUUUCAUGGCUUCCUUCCGCUACUUGGUAAUUUCUUGUACCUUGGGGUAAAUGUGACACUGACUAGGGUAGUGUUUAGUUCCUUCACACAACAAACAAAGUAACUUGCCCAGUCGGGCAUUCUUCGGCUGGGUGAUUCUCCUCACAAUGUGGGCAUCCAUCCUUGUGUUCCUCCUGGGUGUGUCCUAUUUCUCCACAUAUCUUGCAAGCACAAGUUUGCUUCAUUUUACUGUCACCGGGCUUCUGGAUAAAAUGAGACCUCAAUAGAAUCGUCUUGAAUUAUUCCCAAGCAUUUGCUCCAUUCCAUCCUUGUAUAACUUGAUGUAUCUCUCGCCAUGUUCCAGCACCUUGUGUGAUGCGUUGUAAGAUGUAUGGAACCAUAUACUCUCCUUCAAUACGGUGCUCCUUCAUGCGAUCUUCCAUGUUCUGUAUCCAUUGUGCUACCUCUGGUUGUGUCAGAGAUCUCGAAAAUACAAGUCCAUCUUCAUUCAUCAUCUAUUGGGUCCAAGUGUUUUUGGGAUGAGAUACGGAAGAUAAGGGGAGAUGCACACAAUACAAACAAUAGUUUUGAAGAAACAUGUUUUAUUUUAUGGUUGUCGGAAAAACAUCAAACAAAUGACAGGUCACACAUCGUCGCAUCUAACGUAAGUAUAUAACAGGGGGUUUGGUCUUCCAAGGAUCAAAUAAAUCUUCGGAGUUUUCCAAAGUCUUCAGAUUCUUCUGUUGUUGCAGCUGCACUUCUUCCAACGCAUGGAGAAAUCCUCUUUAAACUGAAAUGACCAUCAGUUGUCCGAUAUCUUGUACUUCUUGGAGCGGCUUCAGUUGAUCCUCUGUGUGGUCAAAAGGGAAAGGGGUAUAUUCUAACUAUUUGAGAUAAGAGGGGAUAUUUGAUAAAAUUAGAAAAGAUGAGAAGUAAUGGACUACUUUAAAAAGAAGUUUUAGAGAUUUCGUAUCCUAAAGGAUUUUCGAUUUCUAGGAUCACGUCCUACAGUCAACAUGUGCUCUGUUACCAUAUCUGUAGCGACCCGACCUCAGACGAUCAAGUCUAUGUGUAUUUGUGCCAUCCCUGGAUCAGUAUGCUGGCACACACAGUACAUCAAUGUAUAUAUCAAAGUGCAAUCACAUGUAUAAAUAAUGUAAAACUGAUAUAUACCUCAUAUGUCUCAGCGGAAACAACCAACGGGUGUGGAGUCCCAUCAACGCCAUCGGCAGGUUGAGUAUAGACCGUAACCCUGUAUGGUAACUCUUACUCGUCGAAGAAAAUAUCUGCAACAUGAUACGUUGCAGUUGUGUAGGUCAGUACAUUGAAUGUACCGGCAAGAUCACUAUAAGAAAAAUAGAUGAUAAACUAUACUAUAUGCAAUAUGGCUUUGUGGCUUUGUAUCUGAGUUUUGUUUGCGUAAAGCUAGUUUUAUUUUCCUACAACAAAGGAAUAAAUGAAGUCUGUACUAUAGAGUUUUCUAUCAUGACAUGGUUCCGCCAACCGAUGUCUCAUAGCCCAUAAUCAUCAUAAGUUGCCCACAAUUAAGUUAUCAAUCCGGUGUUGAGAGUUCCGAGAUAGAUCCAAGUCCAGACGCUCAAAUUGUCCGUAACCGGGGACACGGCUAAUCGAUUAGGUUUUAAGCCUCUGCAGAGGUUUGUACACUUUACCCACAAGAUUUGAUCCCUCUUUUUACGUUCUCGCACUUCAGGGUGUUUGAGAACAAGAUGACCGAAACAUGGUCUUCCGAAGGGUUCCUCUGACCACUGUCCGGUGCUCAUCCAAUCCUACCGUAUUUCUACAUCUGCUAGCACCGUCCCAACCAGAGUCACCACUAAGGCCAACCAAGCCAGAGCCCAUAGUGACUUGCGGUUGCACAGGUAAGCUUCCGGGCAUGAAGUAUUCUUCCGUCUCUUUGAGUCUGGGUGAAGCUUUCCGCAAGAUGUCAUAGCGCUUCUCCAUGCAUCCCGGCCAUCCACUGGUUUCUCCAGGGUGCCCGUCAACCAUCCUUCACCCAGUAGUGUGUAUUGAAUUCUUGUAGUCCCGAAAUCUUGAGGUCUUGAAGUCUUGAGGUCAUGACGAUGCAGUCCUUGCCGAUGCCAUUAUGAAGUUAUCGUCAUUGACGUAGAGUCCUCCAUUCUCACACCACCCUCGUGCACUCAUACCAAACCCCGUCUACUAUGGCGUGUCAUUAAAGCUAUAUAACGUCCCGGGCUUGAUAACAGGGAGAUGGGUUCCUACCUCAUGCAUUCUACUCAACUACAAGAAAUCAAUAUCACUACUGGAGGGAUUAUUGAAAGGGUGCCACUACAUGCAAAAUAAAACAUAGGUAUAAAAAACAUGGUCAAAGUGAACUUGCCUGGUAUUACUUGAUGAAGAUAACAACGCUCUCGAAAAUAACUUGAUAGGACUAUACGCAACUCUCCGAUGAAAUCUAUAAUAACAAACAUGACAUUCACAUAAGCAAGCAUUCUAGCAGGCAAAUCUAACAAUCAAAAGAAAAACUCAAUAAGAGAACCCAAUACAAAACAAAUAACAC
rnacentral:lncRNA from 1 species